UCCACAGGUCAAUUUUGCAUU
rnacentral:piRNA from 1 species